AUUGAACGCUGGCGGCAGGCCUAACACAUGCAAGUCGAACGAGUGGCGGACGGGUGAGUAAUGUCUGGGAAACUGCCUGAUGGAGGGGGAUAACUACUGGAAACGGUAGCUAAUACCGCAUACCAUCAGAUGUGCCCAGAUGGGAUUAGCUUGUUGGUGGGGUAACGGCUCACCAAGGCGACGAUCCCUAGCUGGUCUGAGAGGGUGACAAGCAAAACGGGAACUGAGACACGGUCCAGACGCCUACGGGAGGCAGAAGUGGGGAAUAUUGGACAAUGGGGGCAAGGCUGAUGGAGCCAUGCCGCGUGUAUGAAGAAGGCCGUCGGGUUGUAAAGUAAUUUCAGCGGGGAGGCGUUACCCGCAGAAGAAGCACCGGCUAACUCCGUGCCAGCAGCCGCGGUAAUUC
rnacentral:rRNA from 1 species